rnacentral:rRNA from 1 species
UCAAUAAGCGGAGGAAAAGAAACCAACAGGGAUUGCCUUAGUAACUGCGAGUGAAGCGGCAAGAGCUCAAAUUUGAAAUCUGGCGCCUUUGGCGUCCGAGUUGUAAUUUGGAGAGGCAUCUUCGGGUGCGGCGCCGGCCUAAGUUCCUUGGAACAGGACGUCAUAGAGGGUGAGAAUCCCGUUCUCGGCUGGCUGUCCGCGUCCAUGUGAAGUGUCUUCGACGAGUCGAGUUGUUUGGGAAUGCAGCUCAAAAUGGGUGGUAAACUCCAUCUAAAGCUAAAUACUGGCGAGAGACCGAUAGCGCACAAGUAGAGUGAUCGAAAGAUGAAAAGCACUUUGAAAAGAGAGUUAAAAAGUACGUGAAAUUGUUGAAAGGGAAGCGCUUGAGACCAGACUCGGCGGGAGGUAUUCAUCGUCCCUUCUGGGGCGUGCACUUGCCUCUCGUCGGGCCAGCAUCGGUUGCGGCGGCGGGAUAAAGACCCGGGGAACGUGGCUGCUCUCGGGCAGUGUUAUAGCCCCGGGUGUCAUGCCGCCUGCUGCGACCGAGGACCGCGCUCGGCUAGGA